rnacentral:rRNA from 1 species
AGAGUUUGAUCCUGGCUCAGAUUGAACGCUGGCGGCAGGCUUAACACAUGCAAGUCGAGCGGAGAUGAGGUGCUUGCACCUUAUCUUAGCGGCGGACGGGUGAGUAAUGCUUAGGAAUCUGCCUAUUAGUGGGGGACAACAUUCCGAAAGGAAUGCUAAUACCGCAUACGUCCUACGGGAGAAAGCAGGGGAUCUUCGGACCUUGCGCUAAUAGAUGAGCCUAAGUCGGAUUAGCUAGUUGGUGGGGUAAAGGCCUACCAAGGCGACGAUCUGUAGCGGGUCUGAGAGGAUGAUCCGCCACACUGGGACUGAGACACGGCCCAGACUCCUACGGGAGGCAGCAGUGGGGAAUAUUGGACAAUGGGGGGAACCCUGAUCCAGCCAUGCCGCGUGUGUGAAGAAGGCCUUAUGGUUGUAAAGCACUUUAAGCGAGGAGGAGGCUACUGAGACUAAUACUCUUGGAUAGUGGACGUUACUCGCAGAAUAAGCACCGGCUAACUCUGUGCCAGCAGCCGCGGUAAUACAGAGGGUGCGAGCGUUAAUCGGAUUUACUGGGCGUAAAGCGUGCGUAGGCGGCUUUUUAAGUCGGAUGUGAAAUCCCCGAGCUUAACUUGGGAAUUGCAUUCGAUACUGGGAAGCUAGAGUAUGGGAGAGGAUGGUAGAAUUCCAGGUGUUGCGGGGAAAUGCGCAGAGAUCGGGAG